GACGAACCGUGCGAACGUUGUUCGGAAUCACUGGGCUUAAAGGGCGCGUAGGCGGGCGACCAAGUCGGGGGUGAAAUCUUUCGGCUCAACCGGAAAAUAGCCUUCGAUACUGGCCGUCUGGAGGGAGGUAGGGGCGUGUGGAACUUCCGGUGGAGCGGUGAAAUGCGUUGAUAUCGGAAGGAACUCCGGUGGCGAAAGCGACACGCUGGAUCUCAUCUGACGCUGAGGCGCGAAAGCCAGGGGAGCGAACGGG
rnacentral:rRNA from 2 species